GAUGAACGCUAGCGACAGGCUUAACACAUGCAAGUCGAGGGGUAACAUGGGGGUGGCAACACUCCUGAUGACGACCGGCGCACUGGUGAGUAACACGUAUGCAACCUGCCCCCUGCAGGGGAAUAACCCAGGGAAACUUGGCCUAAUGCCGCAUAACACGUCGCGCCGCAUGGCGCGCCGUUGAAAGCUCCGGCGGCAGGGGAUGGGCAUGCGCAGCAUUAGCUAGUUGGCGGGGUGACGGCCCACCAAGGCGACGAUGCUUAGGGGUUCUGAGAGGAAGGUCCCCCACACUGGUACUGAGACACGGACCAGACUCC
rnacentral:rRNA from 1 species